CGGGUGAGUAACGCGUGGAUAUCUGCCUUUUGGUUCGGAAUAACUCCGGGAAACUGGAGCUAAUACCGGAUGGUUCCUACGGGAUAAAGAUUUAUCGCCAAAAGAUGAGUCCGCGUACGAUUAGCUAGUUGGUGAGGUAAUGGCUCACCAAGGCGACGAUCGUUAGCUGGUCUGAGAGGACGAUCAGCCACACUGGGACUGAGACACGGCCCAGACUCCUACGGGAGGCAGCAGUGGGGAAUAUUGGACAAUGGGGGCAACCCUGAUCCAGCCAUGCCGCGUGAGUGAUGAAGGCCUUCGGGUUGUAAAGCUCUUUUGGCGGGGACGAUGAUGACGGUACCCG
rnacentral:rRNA from 1 species